rnacentral:misc_RNA from 1 species
UCUCCGUAGGUGAACCUGCGGAGGGAUCAUUACAGAGUUCAUGCCCUACCGGGUAGAUCUCCCACCCUAUGUUAUUAUUACUUUGUUGCUUUGGCGGGCCGUUAGGCUCCGGCCCGACUACCGGCCCCGGCUGGUAAGCGCCCGCCAGAGGACCCAAAACCCUGAAUAUUAGUGUCGUCUGAGUACUAUAUAAUAGUUAAAACUUUCAACAACGGAUCUCUUGGUUCUGGCAUCGAUGAAGACGCAGC